rnacentral:rRNA from 1 species
AUGACACAGGUGAUUUCCAGGGUGCAAGCAGCAGUAGCAGCACUUGGGGGACAGCUCACAAUGAUCACAGAAGUGCUCAAAAGUCUCAGUGCAGCAGCCCCAUCCACAUCGGUGGUUCCUCCUUCAACGGCACACGCGCAAGAGCCACAUCAGGAAAAAUCCCCAGAAGUUGAGGAAAUUCAGAAGGAAGGGGGGGACGAACAGCAGCGUCCUCUCACUGAAGAACUUAAGAGAUUGUUGAUGGAGCAAGAGAAAACUAGGCAGUUUGCACUGUUAACAGGCAACGAACUGCCUCCUAUCCAGACUGACAGACGAUCAGCUCCACCGGAGCUUGUACCGCUACAAUUUCAAGAUAGACCCUCUGUUCAGGGCUCACCAAUAGCGCCCACAAGGACUACUAGGGUGCCUGCUUUCAAUCAAAUACAACAGCAGGGGAACCGUCUCCAGUGGGAAGACUAUCCCAAAGCAUUUGAAAGCGAUAUGCGAGCUCAGUUCCUCAAAUCCAUGACCAAGAGCCCUAGGAUGGAAUUCCCUCAGUUCGAUGGCACUAAUCCAGCAGGGUAG